GCCACGUUCAAACUGAAGGUAAAAAAAGAAAUUGGGGGUCAAGUGACCAGGUCAGACUUCUUCAGAAGUAGUGUGAACCCUCAAAUCUAGCACAAAUCAGAUUUUUUCAAAUCAGAUUCAGGCCACUUCCAUAUUUGGUCUUGAAUCAGACGCAGGUCAGAUUAUUUCAAUGCAAAUGCAGUGUGAACAAC